rnacentral:rRNA from 1 species
UGGGGAAUAUUGGACAAUGGGCGCAAGCCUGAUCCAGCAAUGCCGCGUGUGUGAAGAAGGCCUUCGGGUUGUAAAGCACUUUUAUCAGGAGCGAAACGCUGUCGGCUAAUACCCGGCGGAACUGACGGUACCUGAGGAAUAAGCACCGGCUAACUUCGUGCCAGCAGCCGCGGUAAUACGAAGGGUGCAAGCGUUAAUCGGAAUUACUGGGCGUAAAGCGUGCGUAGGCGGUUUCUUAAGUCUGCUAUGAAAUCCCCGGGCUCAACCUGGGAAUGGCAGUGGAUACUGGGAGGCUAGAGUGUGUCAGAGGGUGGUGGAAUUCCCGGUGAGCGGUGAAAUGCGUAGAGAUCGGGAGGAACAUCAGUGGCGAAGGCGGCCACCUGGGACAACACUGACGCUGAGGCACGAAAGCGUGGGGAGCAAACAGGAUUAGAUACCCUGGUAGUCCACGCCCUAAACGAUGCGAACUGGAUGUUGGUCUCAACUCGGAGAUCAGUGUCGAAGCUAACGCGUUAAGUUCGCCGCCUGGGGAGUACGGUCGCAAGACUGAAACUUAAAUGAAUUGACGGGGUCAUAGCUGUUUCCUG